AGCGGUCCUGAGUGCAGUGGUGUUUACCACUAAUUGACCACAACCAGUUACAGAUUUCUUUGUUCUUUCUGUCUCCACUCCCACUGCUUCACUUGACUAGCUAAAC
rnacentral:Y_RNA from 1 species